CUUAGCAGUAUGUACCGGGUGACCAGAAGAUUUUUUUGAUAUUCGUACAUUUCGGUACUAAAACGGUACUUUCAUUAAAGACUGAGCUACAGCUCUGAAAUUUGGGAUACGCGUACAUCUUGGCAGUAUGUACCGGAUGACCAGAAGAUUUUUUUGAAAUUUGUAUAUUUACGUAAUAAAACGUACAAAUUGCGUAACAGUUACACUUUGACAGUAAAUGUCGGCCGACUAAAGUUUCUUUUUUUCUUUAUUGGUACAUUUAAGCACUAAAACUUUCAAAAUGUUACUUUAGGAAUUAGGCUAAAGCUCUUAAAAUUGCGAUACAGUUGCACCUUAAUAAUGGGUGUAGCAUCGGGGGCAGCGAAGCGACAGGUCAUAUGAUAGUUUCUUAUAAAAAUAAAGGGUGAUUGGUUUGCUAUUAUUUUUUGGCAACGCUGGUUUAAGCAACUCACGCACGUUUCGUAUUUUGUUUCGCUGUCGAACAUCUUCAGUUUGGUCUAUAAUUUAACCAUGAAUUGUCUUAAAAAGAACAACGCUUGCAAAUGAUUGAAUUUUAUUAUCAUGGGUACGUUAAUAAGCAGAAUUGUCGAUUUUGGAGCAAAGAUCAGCUAGAAGCAUUGCAAGAGCUACCAAUGCAUAAAAAAGUCACAGUUUGGUGCGGUUUAUGGGAUGGUGGCAUCAUUGGACCAUUCUUCUUCAAAGAUGAUGCAAAUCGUAACUUAACUGUGAAUGGUGAGCGCAAUCGUGAGAUGAUAUCCAAAUUUUUUUACCUAAAGAGCUUGACUUGCAUGACAUGUGGUUUCAAGAAGACGGUGCUACAUGCCACACAGUACGCAUAACAAUGGACUUAUUGAGAGGCGAGUUCGGUGAACAUUUUUUAUUAUUGACGCAUUGGAAGAAAACAUUGAAGCAUUUAUACGUAAGAUAUCGACCGAAAUGUUGCAGAGUAUGCGAAAAUUGGACAAAGCGGAUAGACCAUUUGAGGCGCAGUCACGGUCAACAUUUGCAUGAAAUGAUCUUCAAACAUUAAAUUAUAUGAACCGUACUAACGAUUCACUCAGUUCAAAAUUACUGGCACAUAUAAAACUGCUCUCUGGGACACCUGUUUUUUCAUCGCAACAUCUAACGCCAAAGCUUGUACUUUUGCAAUAAUAUGAGUAAAAUCGGACUAUGCUAUUGUAUAUUGGGAGUUGCAAGCGCAUCUGAACCGAUUUUGAUAAAAUUGAGCAAAUGUGUGAAAAUAUUUAAUAAAACUAUCACUACAAAAUUUCCUGAAGAUCAAAAGUUGUAGCUAGUACGCCCUUAUACGUUUUAAUCCGCUGAUACAUAUAUAUAGGUGCUAUAUCUAAAUCUGAAGCGAUUUGGAUGAAAUUGAACUGAGAUUUUCAAAUAGGUAAUAGAACUUUCCAUACCAAAUUUCAUACAAAUCGGUUAAAAUUGUGGCAACUACGAAAAUUUAGGCUAUAUCUAAAUCUGAACCGAUUUUUACCUAGAUGAAAAGCGUUUGUCCCUAGGCUAAAAAAGUGAUAUGUACAUCUCUUCCAAAAAUAAUGACCUAUUACGAAUUACAAAAGAAUUAUUGCAGACCAAAUAACAAAACCUCCGAUUCACUCAACGUUUCUUGAAUGUUCAUAGGAACAUUUCUUUUGGUAUAAUUCAUACCCACCACCGUCUUCCACUUCCGAGUAUCUAAAGCGACUUUUCCAUCACCAAAAAUACCGUUCGUGAUUUUGCACAAAUAAUUCUAUUUAUAAACGUAUCUUUCUAUGAUUUAAGCGCCCUCGCGACAUUUUUCCAUUCAAUUUAGAGUUGUCCGAUCAAAGUUGAAUCGAACAGAACUCAUUGAUAUGUGCGCAGUUUGCCCUAUCGACAGUUUCAUUGGUCCAAAAAGGUGCUAUGCCAUGUAAAACUUCUCUCCAAAGAGGUGUCGCACUGCGGCACGCCGUUCGGACUCGGCUAUAAAAAGGAGGUCCCUUAUCAUUGAGCUUAAAAACUUGAUCCGGACUGCACUCAUUGAUAUGUGAGAAGUUUGCCCCUGUUCCUUAGUGGAAUGUUCAUGGGCAAAAUUUGCAUUUGCAUUUUUGAAUAAGAAUGUUAGAAUAUAAUACAAGACAUUUGAUUUGUGACUACGUCUUGAAGGACAAUAGAUCCAUGUUAGAAACCAUAAAUAAAAUGCCUUAGAAACCUUUUAAGGUUUAUUAUUGAUACAAAUUCUUAUUUAAAAAACUAAAUCCCCCUUUUACAUUUUUCUCUGUCUAUGGGACAAUUAACAUGUUUACCCGUAGACCUUUUAUGUUUGAAAACCGUGACCAUUUUAUGCUGUUAUUGGAAACUGUCUAUGUUCAUAAUAAAAACAAAUAUGCAAUAGCAGGGCCUAAAUUAUUCAGAGCAAUACGCAGCAUUUCCCGCUUUCGAAAAGGCGUUAGCAACAUACACAGGUAGCAGCUGAAAACUAUGCAAACCAUUCCCUGUCGCGCCGGGAUUACAACGCUCAGUCUGAUGUACACAUUCUCCAAGAAACGUGGUUGACGGUAACAAAAAAAAAAUUAAAAAGUGCAAGAAUAUGAAAUAAAUGACCAAGACAAAUUUGAAUACAAUUACAGGAAGAAAUUGAAUAUGAUACAGUGGUGUAAAAGGAAUUUCCAGCAUGACAGGGCCUAAAAUUUUGGUAAUCAUUAAAAAUUAAAAAAACUAAAAGUAUUCUGUUGCUUUACUGGACUUUAUUUAACUUUGUUUGGAGGAAAUUUUAAAAUUGAAAUGCCUUCUACAAUUUAUGCAAA